rnacentral:lncRNA from 1 species
GACUCUUACAGACUAUAGGGACGUUUAGUGACAGGUGGAAUUCAUCUUAUAAAAUGGCUUUGCGAUUAUAGGGACAAAAGAUGGGAAGUUUUGGCUUACAAGUAAUGCAUCUGGGUGUCAUAGUGUCAAGGGCUGGACUUGUAAUGGCUGACACUGAACUUGACGAGGUCUAGAAUCCCUUAGGGGCGAAUCUCUGAACAUGUUCAUAAGAGAGUUUUUAGAUUGGAUUAACUGGGGUGGUUUGAAUGAAAAAUAUCCCCCCCUAGGACUAGGUGUUAGAAUACUCGGUCUCCAGUUGCAGGUGCUGUUUGCAGUGGAUUAGGAGGUGUGGCCUUGGUAGAGGAAAUAUGUCACGGCUGGGGAUGAGACAGGCUUUGAUGUUUAAAAGCCACUCUCCCUUCCCAGUUCUCUCCUUACCCCCUUCUGAUUGCAGUGAGGUGAGUCCUUGGUUCUCAGCUUUCAACUCUGGCUGCCAAGACUGCUGCCUGCUGCCAUACUGUCUCCACCAUUAUGGACCCUAAACCUCUGGAACCAUAAGCCUCAAUAAAUCCUUCCUUCUAAAAGUUCCCUUGGUCAUGGUGUUUUACCACAGCAAUAGAAAAGUAGCUGAUACGAAUAGGAAGACCUGCUCUAAAUGUGGGCGGCACCAUCCACAGAGUCCUGGUCUUAGUACUAGCGCAAAGCAAGAGGCGCACAGCACCUAGCUCCUGCUCUUCUUGACAGACCAUGCAGUGGGGCUGGCCUCCUCUGCAGCCUCUAUAAGCUCAUCCCCUUGACCUGUACGCCCUUCCUCCCUUAAGUUGUUUUUGUUAAGUAUUUGAACACGACAACGAAAAAAGUGACUCACAGACUGCAUGAGCCAGCAAUUCCUUUGGGCAGCCCCAAGAGAGUUAAAAACACAUUCGCACAAAAACCUGUGCAUGUUUCUGUUCCGUUCAUAGCAUUAUGGGUUUGUUUGUUUUUUGUUUUUUUUUUUUUUUGGCAGUAAAAAAAUUGAACAUGGGGCCUUAUGUAUGCAGGAUGUCAAGGCUCCUUCCUUACAUAUGCUAGCUGUCAAGGUUGGUUUUUGUGAACUUGACACAAACCUAGACAUGCAUGGAGAGAAGGAAUCUCAACUGAAGACUCCCCUCCAUUGGAGUGACCUGUAGGCGUGGCUGUGGGACAUUUUCUUAACUGCUAGCUGAUGGAGGAGGGCCCAGCCCACUGGGGGAAGUGCUUUGCUUGCCAGUGGGCUAUAUAAGAAGGCAGUUGAACAAACCAUGGAAGCAACCAGUAAGCAGUGUCCCCCUCAACAACCCCCCCUUAUUUGUUUCUAUUCCUGCCUCAAGUUCCUCCCUUGACUUCCCUUUCCUCCUCGAAGUUGUAAUGGUGUUUACCACAGCACAGCAAACCAACCAGGACAUGAAGCCAGCACGGUCCCACUGACCUAUAGCCCCACAAAAUGGAAUAUUACUCAGACAUAAAACGGGAUGAGGUUCUGAAACGGAACCCAGGGCCUGGAGCACAUUAGGUAAGUAUUCUGCUAGUCGGCUGUAUCCGUGGGCCAUUAGCCUAGAAAUGUAAGGGCCUAGGCACUC